rnacentral:rRNA from 1 species
GUGCCUAAUACAUGCAAGUCGAGCGAACUGAACUAAUUGAUUGACUGCUUCGCUGACGUUUUAAACGAGAGCGGCGGAUGGGUGAGUAUACACGUGCGGAACCUGCCCCAUAGUCUGCGAUAACACUUGGAACCAGGUGCUAAUACCGGAUAAGAAAGCAGAUCGCCUGAUUAGCUUAUAAAAGAUGGCGUAAGCUGUCGCUACUGGAUGGACCCGCGGUGCAUUAGCUAGUUGGUAGGGUAACGGCCUACCAAGGCAAUGAUGCAUAGCGGAGUUGAGAGACUGAUCGGCCACAUUGGGACUGAGACACGGCCCAAACUCCUACGGGAGGGAGCAGUAGGGAAUCUUCCACAAUGGACGAAAGUCUGAUGGAGCAACGCCGCGUGAGUGAAGAAGGUUUACGGAUCGUAAAGCUCUGUUGUUGGUGAAGAAGGAUAGAGGUAGUAACUGGCCUUUAUUUGACGGUAAUCAACCAGAAAGUCACGGCUAACUACGUGCCAGCAGCCGCGGUAAUACGUAGGUGGCAAGCGUUGUCCGGAUUUAUUGGGCGUAAUGCGAGCGCAGUCGGAAGAAUAAGUC